AGUGUGUUUUCACCAGACACUCAAUCUAACGGCACCUUGAUCUUGAACUUCCAGCCUUCAGAACUGUGAGAAAUACAUUUCUGUUGUUUAUAAGCCACUCAGUCUACGGUAUUUUUGUUACCGCAGCUUGAAUGGACUAAGACAGGACACUAUUGAGCAUCUCUCCUGAGAUGAUGAUAAACUCUUCUCUGCUGCUCUCCAUCGUCUCCAAUAUCACCUCUUGCGUGAGAGUUUCCUCUGACCUUUACCGCCCGCUCAGCCAACAUACGAAUACAGGAAGAAACACACAACUUAGAAAAGGUGAUUCUAAAGCGCGAGUCUGAGAACCGCCACUAUUGACAGGAGCCACUGACAUCCGCCUUGGCAUCCAAGUUAGCAGAAUGGAGCCUCUAAGCAAAAAGAAGGCACCAGGGGCAGUAGGACACUCAGGAUAUUCUCCGGGGUACAGGCACACGGUGUGCAGCUGCCAUCUGAACCCUGAAACUUCUGGGCUCAUGCAAGUGUCAUUGCCUUUCUCAAGAUUUCUGAAAAUUCCCAAGGGCCUCAUGGCCUCGAGCAUCUGCUUCUGUAACACAUCUGUGUCUGUAACACAGGGUAAACUCAGGGAUUGGCUUGCUGCCCUCAAGUGUGUUUCCUGCUUAGACUUGAUCAACCCAGACCUGAAUCUCUGCCCCUUUCCAUAGUUGACAUUAAAAGCCUCUCACACAAGUUAUUGUGUGUGUGUGUGUGUGUGUGUGUGGUAGUUUGAUAAAAUAGAGGGGUCUUAUACUUCAGCACACAACAUCAAAUAUAACAUUAGUGAGACCUAUUCUUACAAGUCUCUCAGCACCCUGCAUGUUGCCAGGCUCAUGUUCCCUCUCUUCUCUUCUCACUUCCCUUCUUUCCUUCCUCUGUCCUUCUGACCUAUGGUUCAGAUCUUCCCAUUUGCUUAUGUGGAACGAUCUAGCUCUCCUCAGCCCCUGCCCCUACGUUCAGCUCUAGGCCUCCCUUCACAGAGCUAAAGACGUGGUUUAUGUAGCCGGAUUACGUUUGUAGACAAAGGCCAUGUUCCUCCCACGGAGCAGUGUGGUAGUUUUGAAACAUGUCCACAGAUUCCCUGAUACGUCUGCUUUCAAAUGCAGUGCGGGCUGAACUUGAUGACUCACCUCCAACAAAUAAAGUAUGGCAGAAGUGACAUGUGACUUCCCAGGGGAGCACAUAAAAGGCGCUAUGACUUCCUCCUCUCGCUCAGAUUACUCUCCUGGGGAAAGCCAGUUGCCAUGUCACAAGGAUGCUCAAGCAGGUGUGGAAACCCAGAGAAACUUCUCUCUUCUCUGUCUCCAUUGCCAACACUUCCCACCUACACAGCUCUGGGUCAGAGUGUAAAGUGUGCCUGGGGGAGGGGAUGUGCUGGGUCACAGCAGAGGAGACAGACCAGCAACACGGAGGCAAUCAAGUGCAGUGAAGAGGGGCACAGGCUCUGGAGUCACGAAAACCUGAGUUUGAGUCCAGCUCCACUUCUUGCCACCAGCUCCUCUAAGCUUCUGAAGCUUCAGUUUGCUCAGCUGUAAAAUGGGGCUUUAUCUCCUUCUGAGAGAAGUGGGUUGAGGCACAGAUAGGCUUGGUGCUAGGCCUGGCCCCAUGGAAGUACUUACUUGGUGGCAGUAAUGAUGAUGAGUAUUGGCUGAGUACCUACUAUGUGUCAGGCUCUGUGAUAGCUGUAUCACAUACAUUAUCACAUCAUUUUAAUAAUCACACAGCAACUCAAUACGGUUGAUAAGUUGUAGUGGUUACAUAGCGUCUCCCUAAAAGAUACAUUCAAAUCACAAUUCCAAGUAUCUGUG